rnacentral:rRNA from 1 species
UACGUAGGGUGCGAGCGUUGUCCGGAAUUCUUGGGCGUAAAGGGCUCGUAGGCGGUUUGUCGCGUCGGGAGUGAAAUCCACUGGCUUAACUGGUGGCUUGCUUUCGAUACGGGCAGACUGGAGGUAUGCAGGGGAGAACGGAAUUCCUGGUGUAGCGGUGGAAUGCGCAGAUAUCAGGAGGAACACCGGUGGCGAAGGCGGGUCUCUGGGCAGUAACUGACGCUGAGGAGCGAAAGCGUGGGGAGCGAACAGG